rnacentral:lncRNA from 1 species
CAGGAUGAGACUCCAUUUAAAAAAAAAAAAGAGGAUGACAACACUGCCUGUCUCACUGGAAUCUUGUAAGGAUUAAAUGGUUACUGUUUUUAACGUAGUUGGAAGAGUUUGUGGUCCUGUGUUUGUUAAAUAUACACAAAUUAACUUCCCAGCUCACCCAUGCCUAGUAUUAUGCAAGGGGCUUCACAUCAAUUACCUUGUUUGGUCUUCACCACAGCCACAUGAGCUUGGAAUGACUAUUAUUAGGGAAAGUGGACCCAAGAAGGUCAAGUUCCUUGCCUGAGGUCACACAGCUAGUAAAAGGCAGAGCAAAGGUUGAAACUCAGGAUGGUCUGUCUCCAGGACCGGGGCUCUCCACCACUCGGGCCUGCCUAUUCCAGGGCUGGCAGCCUCUCUACAGAGGUGAAGCGUCUACUGGAUCACUUUUGACCAACAACACAUCAGCCGGCAGAGGAAGGAGGGGUGGGCCAAGAAGGGCCCCUUCCCUCUCAGGCCGGAGAGAUUCCUCUGACUAAUUUGCUGAGUGACUUCGAUGGCAAACUGCAGCCCUGUUCCCUCCAGCUGAGACUCCUCCGUCUUGCUCAUGACUGGGUCCCCUGGGCAGAGCCAGGUCCUGGCAGAGAGCAGAUAUCCAGUAAAUACCUCUUGGCCCUAAGAAUGACUGGGAACACUCAUGUAGCGAGAACACCUUCCUGUGUGUUAUCUCAUCUCAUCCUCACAGCAGCCCAGAGAGCGACCGCAGGUGCACACAGAUCUGAGGGCCUGAUCUGUUCCACUCUCUUUAUGCCAAACAGAGGAGGGACGCGAACCCCAGCAUGAAACGGCACCCACAACCACAAGGCCCGGUGUGCGCCCUCUGAAACCGUAGGUAAAGACAAUUACUGGCAAUUUCCACAGCAUGGUUUGUUUUUUGUUCAAAGGCAGUGGAGGCAUUCUCAGCAGCAGGCCCAAAAUGUAGUAUUCCCACCGCACGCCGCCCUCAUGAAUUUGUGAUAAAAGCUGUGGUUGCUUUGUCCUGGCUCUUCCUUUCAACAGUCAAACCUUCAGGUUUGAUGUUGAAACUGCUUUUUUCUUCAAGUGUACUUUGAUGGUGCAGAUAACGCUCCAUGAUAAGGAAUCUGCCUUCAAAACCACUCACUGUACCUUGUGCUCACCAUUAAGAUGAACGUCACAAGGGAAAAUCGGGUACCCGAAUUUUUGAGUAGUGGGAUGGGAAUGUGCUGAGUCUGUGAAAUUCUCCUCUGUGCUGCCUGUACUGGAGAUUUGGCAUCCCCCAACACCCAAGAAAAGAAGGAGAAGGGGAAGGGGAAGGGGAAGGAAGAAGGAAGAAAGAAGAAGGAAGAAAAAGAAGGAGAAGAAAAAAGCACCAGGCAUUGAUCAGAAGGAGGUCCUGGGACAGGAGGAAAAUGGUGGGAAACGUCCUAGAAACAGCUGUUUUUCCUUUGGCAAAAGCUGUCAAGAAUCUACACGUUCAUGCCCAUCUGUUUUCCUUAAUUAAAAAGACUCUGCGAAGCUGAUGCUAAGUGGCCCAGAGUCUCUAAGAGCUUGUGAAUAUCCGAGCACCCUUGGGGAGGCCUCCCAGGUUCCAGGUUCCUCAGCUGCUGCAUCUCCUGUGGUUGUGUUUAAGUUCUUCCCUUUGCUCAUAAAUAUUUGCAAUCUCCCAAGGGCUGCCUACCCUUGGAGCCAUUACAUCACAGUAGGAACAGGCCCUGUGUUGCUUUGUGUAAGCAAUGAUUGUUUUUUCUUUCUAAAGCAGUUUCAUGUCUAUCAUCUCCCAUUCUAUGGAGAAAGUAUUUUUUAUUAUUAUUAUUUGAGACAGAGUCUUGCUCUGUU